AUGUGGGUCAUCUGGCUCUGGAGCUCAUGUUGUAAACUGCAGUGCUUGCCUGCCUCUCUCAGGACACCAGAAGUCCCACUCUUGAUGAGCCUGGCUGAUGGGUCCCGGAUCUUCACUGGAACUUCCCAGGCACCACCACAACCAUUUCGGGCUAGAAGGGGAACGUCCCAUCACUUAGCCGUACUUGAUACAACUGUCCCCACUGUUGUCACUGGCAACUGGAUCAGCCUCUUCCUGCUGAUGGAGCGUCAUUAUCUGGCCCUGCUGCCAUGGAGACCCAAAGGAAUCAGGUGUGUUUUUCGCCUGCAUCACUCCCGCCUGGGGUGCGACAAGGACUCUUCUGCACGUCAUGCGUGGUGGACCUGUGGCGGGCUGCGGCCAGGCUCUUCCUGCGGGUGAAACCUAAUCAACUCAUCGGCAGCAGAUAAUAUCAAGACCUCUGUUUGAUACAUUACUAGUGACAGGCAUGCUUCCACCAUUAAUAACACGAUGCCCUUUGACAAUUAGGUUGUUUGGGGGGAAGAAAACCUUCCAGUCACCAGACUCAGCAUGAGAGGGCUCUUGUUCACACAAACACGACCUCACGUCUCUGCCUAGCACCACGGACUGUUUUGUUCUCCAAGGCCAUCUGCGUGCCCAUUCUCUGAUCUAGAUUUCCUUCAUAACAACUUUCUCGUUUGUAUGCCCUCGCAGCAAGCACUGUUUCCUGUUUCUAAACUUGUAGACAAGCAUCCAUACAGCUCACAGUUGUCAACGUUAACUAGAUAACAGUGGCGCCUUCUUGCUGCUUUUAUAUCUUUAACUUAGGUGAAGAGGACCCCGGAAGUCAAGUUUUUGAUUUGGAAGGAUGGGGUAUUCUUAAUUAAUGGCCCUACAUUUUCACGGGACUCAUCAUCUGAAAAAGAAAGUAAGUGGAAAAUCAUAGCCCCAUUUCUCAGGCUUGAAAAAUGUGUAGUGACAAGAGGACAAGAGAUGAAGGUUUUUAAAGCAAUAAAUGUCAUUUUGUUUCUCUUCUGAAUUUGUUGAGCAAAGGAGUUGUAUCAGUAUAGUUUUCACCCCCCUCCCCCCAAACAGGAAAACUGUAGCAAGUUGCUGGUGAGAAUCAAUGGGACCUGUGCGCAGGUUGUAAGUCAAAAAUUGUAGGAGUCUUAACAAUCUGUGGAUAGUCUUUUGAAGAAGCUGCUUCACUUCAUGCACUGAUGAGUAUUACUUACGUAGUGCUACUAUGUUUUAAACUCUAAACUAGGCUUAUUCUCUGACGAUCUUAUACUAAAAUGAUUAAAAUAUGUAACAAGCACUUAUAAAAGUAAAAUAUGCUCAUCUAGCAAUUUGGAAAAUGCAUUUAAAGCAGAGGGAAAAAUGUCACUCAGAGAUAACCACCAUUCAUAGCCUGGAGUACAUGCUUGCAUUGUGUGUGUGUGUGUGUGUGUGUGUGUGUGUGUGUUCCAAGUAAAGCUGACAAUAUUCUAUUGAUACAAUUUGCCAUUUACUUUUUUGCUAAUUUUUUCUUUUUAUAAACUUCAUAAAUAAAAUUACUGUUGGUUAUAUAGUA
rnacentral:lncRNA from 9 species